rnacentral:rRNA from 1 species
AGUGAACGCUGGCGGUAGGCCUAACACAUGCAAGUCGAACGGCAGCACAGUAAGAGCUUGCUCUUACGGGUGGCGAGUGGCGGACGGGUGAGGAAUACAUCGGAAUCUACUUUUUCGUGGGGGAUAACGUAGGGAAACUUACGCUAAUACCGCAUACGACCUACGGGUGAAAGCAGGGGAUCUUCGGACCUUGCGCGAUUGAAUGAGCCGAUGUCGGAUUAGCUAGUUGGCGGGGUAAAGGCCCACCAAGGCGCCGAUCCGUAGCUGGUCUGAGAGGAUGAUCAGCCACACUGGAACUGAGACACGGACCAGACUCCUACGGGAGGCAGCAGUGGGGAAUAUGGGACAAUGGGCGCAAGCCUGAUCCAGCCAUACCGCGUGGGUGAAGAAGGCCUUCGGGUUGUAAAGCCCUUUUGUUGGGAAAGAAAAGCAGCAGGUUAAUACCCCGCUGUUCUGACGGUACCCAAAGAAUAAGCACCGGCUAACUUCGUG